rnacentral:rRNA from 1 species
UACGGGGGGGGCAAGCGUUGUUCGGAAUUACUGGGCGUAAAGGGCUCGUAGGUGGCCAACUAAGUCAGACGUGAAAUCCCUCGGCUUAACCGGGGAACUGCGUCUGAUACUGGAUGGCUUGAGUUCGGGAGAGGGAUGCGGAAUUCCAGGUGUAGCGGUGAAAUGCGCAGAUAUCGGGAAGAACACCCGUGGCGAAGGCGGUUCUCUGGGACGGUACUGACGCUGAGACGCGAAAGCGUGGGGAGCGAACAGG